rnacentral:rRNA from 1 species
GACGUAGGGAGCGAGCGUUGUCCGGAUUUAUUGGGCGUAAAGGGCCAGUAGGCGGCUUGGCAAGUCAGGUGUGAAACCUCCAGGCUCAACCUGGAGACGCCACUUGAUACUGCUAUGGCUUGAGUCCGGUAGGGGAGCAUGGAAUACCCGGUGUAGCGGUGAAAUGCGCAGAUAUCGGGAGGAACACCGGUGGCGAAGGCGGUUCUCUGGGCCUUACCUGACGCUGAGGAGCGAAAGCGUGGGGAGCGAACAGG